rnacentral:rRNA from 1 species
GGAAUCUUCGGCAAUGGGGGCAACCCUGACCGAGCAACGCCGCGUGAGUGAAGAAGGUUUUCGGAUCGUAAAGCUCUGUUGUAAGAGAAGAACAUGUGUGAGAGUGGAAAGUUCACACAGUGACGGUAACUUACCAGAAAGGGACGGCUAACUACGUGCCAG